CCUACGGGAGGCAGCAGUGGGGAAUAUUGCACAAUGGGGGAAACCCUGAUGCAGCGACGCCGCGUGAGUGAAGAAGUAUUUCGGUAUGUAAAGCUCUAUCAGCAGGGAAGAAAAUGACGGUACCUGACUAAGAAGCCCCGGCUAACUACGUGCCAGCAGCCGCGGUAAUACGGAGGAUGCGAGCGUUAUCCGGAUUCAUUGGGUUUAAAGGGUGCGCAGGCGGGCCUUUAAGCCGGCGGUGAAAUCGCGGGGCUCAACCCCGCCGAUCCGUCG
rnacentral:rRNA from 1 species